rnacentral:rRNA from 1 species
UGUGACCUCAAAUCAGGUAGGACUACCCGCUGAACUUAAGCAUAUCAAUAAGCGGAGGAAAAGAAACUAACAAGGAUUCCCCUAGUAACUGCGAGUGAAGCGGGAAAAGCUCAAAUUUAAAAUCUGGCAGUCUUUGGCUGUCCGAGUUGUAAUCUAGAGAAGUGUUAUCCGCGCUGGACCGUGUACAAGUCUCCUGGAAUGGAGCGUCAUAGAGGGUGAGAAUCCCGUCUUUGACACGGACUACCAGGGCUUUGUGAUGCGCUCUCAAAGAGUCGAGUUGUUUGGGAAUGCAGCUCAAAAUGGGUGGUAAAUUCCAUCUAAAGCUAAAUAUUGGCGAGAGACCGAUAGCGAACAAGUACCGUGAGGGAAAGAUGAAAAGAACUUUGGAAAGAGAGUUAAACAGUACGUGAAAUUGCUGAAAGGGAAACGCUUGAAGUCAGUCGCGUUGUCCAGGGAUCAACCUUGCUUUUGCUUGGUGCACUUUCUGGUUGACGGGUCAGCAUCAAUUUUGACCAUUGGAAAAAGAUUGAGGGAAUGUGACAUCUUCGGAUGUGUUAUAGCCCUUGGUUGCAUACGAUGGUUGGGAUUGAGGAACUCAGCACGCCGCAAGGCCGGG